GAGAAUGCCGGUGUGAGUAGCGAAAGACGGGUGAGAAUCCCGUCCACCGAUUGACUAAGGUUUCCAGAGGAAGGCUCGUCCGCUCUGGGUUAGUCGGGUCCUAAGCUGAGGCCGACAGGCGUAGGCGAUGGAUAACAGGUUGAUAUUCCUGUACCACCUAUAAUCGUUUUAAUCGAUGGGGGGACGCAGUAGGAUAGGCGAAGCGUGCGAUUGGAUUGCACGUCUAAGCAGUAAGGCUGAGUAUUAGGCAAAUCCGGUACUCGUU
rnacentral:rRNA from 1 species